rnacentral:rRNA from 1 species
AGGACGAACGCUGGCGGCGUGCUUAACACAUGCAAGUCGAGCGAGGCCCCCGCCUUCGGGUGGGGUGCCCUAGCGGCGAACGGGUGAGUAACACGUGGGCAACCUGCCCCUAGCACUGGGAUAAGCCCGGGAAACCGGGUCUAAUACCGGAUAUGACAUCGGAGGGCAUCCUCCGAUGUGUAAAGGAUUCUGGCUAGGGAUGGGCCCGCGGCCUAUCAGCUUGUUGGUGGGGUAACGGCCUACCAAGGCGACGACGGGUA